rnacentral:lncRNA from 1 species
GGUAGGGCAGGCUUAGAAAAGGGAGAAUCUGCUGCCAGAGAGGCCAGAUGCCAUGAGUCCAAAGGAAUCAUCCCGCCCCCAGCAGACAAGCGUGGAGCCAGCCUGCUCCUCUGGCCAAAGCAUUCCACCCCCGGACCUCUCCUCCAGGUACUUCCUGUCCAGACGGGCAGUGGCCCCAGAGCCUGGGAAACCUGCCCCACAGGUGAGGGCAAGGGGUGUGUCUGAAGUGGGUGAGAGGCUGGUAUGAGCCUUGGUUGCUGCUCUGGAAACAGGAAGAAGAGAUGUGGAAGAAGAGAUGUGGGUAUGGUGGAUUCUGACCCUUGGCUCCCCAAAGUUCCACAGAGCCCAGCUCCCACUGAAGGCAUAUGACCCAGAUCCUGAGAACCAGAUGCACCGGCCUGAGCUUUCGUCAGAAGCAAGGACACACAGAACCUUUCUUAGAGGCAUCAUUAGAGGACCGGACAUGGUGGCCAGAGGCUGCAGGGACAGAAGUCCCAGGGCCAUGUCCAGGAACUGGGCUCAGGGGACCUCCUGGUGCCACCUGCAUAUCUGAGCCCAUGGAGUUCCUCUGGUCUAUUCAGUUCUCUCAUUUUAACUUAAUUUUGUUUUUGUAGGCUUUCUUAAAAAAUUGCCCAGUUCAUUUACCUGAUCACGUUUAUUGUUCAGAGUGCCAUUGACCUUUAGAUGGGCUGUACGGUGUGGGGUUCGGUGCCAUGGAUCUGCUUCUCCAGGGACCAGGAUCUUGAGAUCUUCAGGCUGGGUUUCCAUGGAGGCAUGGAGCUGCUUUUCCUCCUUCAUAACUGCACUCAAAACAGCCCUGUUGCUCUAGAAUGGAGACUUGGGCAACUCCUUCUGGCACAGAUUUGUUCACCUCAGGUGAAAUUCAGAUAGAAGCAAGCUGCAGGCAGUUUCACCUCUAAGUCCAUGGGUUCUCAACUGGUAACGUCCUCUUAUGGAUGUUAGCCCAUGAGGUCAAUCCUGUAGCAAUCUAAGGCUUGAGAAAAAUUAAUCUUCUGGAAAAUUCCAAGAAUACAUCUUAGGGAAACUGGCUCUACCUUUAUGACUUGGAUCACACAAGGAUAUGCUUUUCAUCUUGGACUAGAACUGAGAGCCAAUGGAUGUGUUAUCUAAAACUAUCCCAGUGUGUUCACUAUACAGAGGAAGAUUCUGAGAUUCAAGACUCAAGACUGAAGAAGAUCAUUAUUUUUAUUAUUUUAGUCUUAUGCACAAAAUGAUAUCUACUGAAUAAGCAGGUUUUUAAUAGGUGACUUAUAUAUGUUAGCAAAAAUAAACACUUUGUCUUUUAGAUCUAUUCUAGUUUUUCAGUAGCUGUAGACUUAAGUGCUAACUUUUAGCCCAUAGGAUAAGAAGAAACCAAGUCCUAAAAGUAGGCCAGCACCAGGGUUCAGGCCUCUGACUUCAAGCCAAGGGCUCAUCAUCUUGAAUUGCGCACGAAUUUUUACACAGCGCCAAAGGAAACUGCCUGUACUUACUGUUGUAGGUGCUUUGCUGGAUUCAGGAUGCAGACAAGGUCCACGCAUUGUGGUUGGAACAAUGACUAGAUCUUUACCUGGUCCACAGCCCUCCCCAGUCUGGCUGCAACCUCUCAUGAGGCUGAGCUCACCAUGAACCCCUGCUCUAGGCGUCUGCAUAGUGUUCUGUUUGUCCCCGUGACUGUCCACCUCUUCUUUGGCCUGUUGGCAUGCGCUUAUCCUCCAGACCUCAGUCCAAAGUUCAGUCCCGGAGCAGACACAACCCUGUUUGCAGAGAGCCAACAUUCUAAUUGACAGUGCGUGGUGGGAAACAGUGAACCGAGGGAAAGAGUGCCAGUGUUAGAGAGCCACAGUGCAGUGAAGAAGAGAAGGCAAGAGGAUGUGAUGCAAAAUCACAGGACCUGGCUUCCAGACCAUUCUGCUUCCAUGAGAACAUUUCAGUUGAGAACCGGAUGGCAUGAAAAAAAGCAAUACAGUGGAAAGAGUAUGGGAUUUGGUGUCUUUCAGACAGGAUUCCACUUGCAAGCCGUGUGAUAUGGGGCAGCUCACCAGAUCCUGGACCUCCAUAAACCCCUCUGCAACGUGGAGAGAAUCAGAUUUCCCCACAGACUCCAUGAAGGGCUCCAGAGUGCCCUCCCCCGUUAGCCACUGAUGCAUUCAUGAGGAAGAGAAAGAGUUAAAUGCUCCUUUCGAGGAAGCGGUGGUGGCCG